UCUGCCCCUUGAGGCGCUGCAGUCUGACUGUCUGUCGAGCAUGUGUCAUGAGGGGCAGAGAGUGACAGGGUUGUGUCUACACCGAGGACACAGAAUAGUGGGUACUUGGAAUGAUAAUAGCGCCAACAGA
ensembl:snoRNA